CGGGUGACGAGUGGCGGACGGGUGAGUAAUGUCUGGGGAUCUGCCCGAUAGAGGGGGAUAACCACUGGAAACGGUGGCUAAUACCGCAUAACGUCGCAAGACCAAAGAGGGGGACCUUCGGGCCUCUCACUAUCGGAUGAACCCAGAUGGGAUUAGCUAGUAGGCGGGGUAACGGCCCACCUAGGCGACGAUCCCUAGCUGGUCUGAGAGGAUGACCAGCCACACUGGAACUGAGACACGGUCCAGACUCCUACGGGAGGCAGCAGUGGGGAAUAUUGCACAAUGGGCGCAAGCCUGAUGCAGCCAUGCCGCGUGUAUGAAGAAGGCCUUCGGGUUGUAAAGUACUUUCAGCGGGGAGGAAGGCGAUGUGGUUAAUAACCGUGUCGAUUGACGUUACCCGCAGAAGAAGCACCGGCUAACUCCGUGCCAGCAGCCGCGGUAAUACGGAGGGUGCAAGCGUUAAUCGGAAUUACUGGGCGUAAAGCGCACGCAGGCGGUCUGUUAAGUC
rnacentral:rRNA from 1 species